rnacentral:rRNA from 1 species
UACGGAGGGGGCUAGCGUUGUUCGGAAUUACUGGGCGUAAAGCGCACGUAGGCGGCUUUGCAAGUUAGAGGUGAAAGCCCGGGGCUCAACCCCGGGUCGGCCGUGCGAACUGCUGGGCUGGAGCACUGUAGAGGCAGGUGGAAUUCCGGGUGUAGCGGUGGAAUGCGUAGAGAUCCGGAAGAACACCGGUGGCGAAGGCGGCCCGCUGGGCUGUUGCUGACGCUGAGGCGCGACAGCGUGGGGAGCAAACAGG